UACGUAGGGCGCGAGCGUUGUCCGGAUUUAUUGGGCGUAAAGAGCUCGUAGGCGGCCUGUUGCGUCCGCUGUGAAAACCCGGGGCUUAACCCCGGGCUUGCAGUGGAUACGGGCAGGCUGGAGGCAGGCAGGGGAGAACGGAAUUCCCGGUGUAGCGGUGAAAUGCGCAGAUAUCGGGAGGAACACCGGUGGCGAAGGCGGUUCUCUGGGCCUGUACUGACGCUGAGGAGCGAAAGCGUGGGGAGCGAACAGG
rnacentral:rRNA from 1 species